rnacentral:rRNA from 1 species
GGACUACACGGGUUUCUAAUCCUGUUUGCUCCCCACGCUUUCGCACCUCAGCGUCAGUACCGAUCCAGUGGGCCGCCUUCGCCACCGGUGUUCUUCCUAAUAUCUACGAAUUUCACCUCUACACUAGGAAUUCCACCCACCUCUAUCGGACUCGAGAUUUGCAGUAUCAAAGGCAGUUCCGAGGUUGAGCCCCGGGAUUUCACCCCUGACUUACAAAUCCGCCUACGUGCGCUUUACGCCCAGUGAUUCCGAACAACGCUAGCUCCCUUCGUAUUACCGCGGCGGCUGGCAC